rnacentral:rRNA from 1 species
ACACGUAGGAGGCAAGCGUUAUCCGGAUUUACUGGGCGUAAAGCGCGUGCAGGCGGUCUGGUAAGUUGGAUGUGAAAGCUCCCGGCUCAACUGGGAGAGGUCGUUCAAAACUGCCGGACUAGAGGACGGUAGAGGGAGGUGGAAUUCCCGGUGUAGUGGUGAAAUGCGUAGAUAUCGGGAGGAACACCAGUGGCGAAGGCGGCCUCCUGGGCCGUUCCUGACGCUAAGACGCGAAAGCGUGGGGAGCGAACGGGAUUAGAAACCCCUGUAGUCC